GAGGGCAGAGGGCAGCACUGCUGUCAGCCAGGAGCUCACCCAGAGAGCCCGACCCGGAGUCGGGCUGCGGGGAGAGAUGAGCUCAGCUGGAGUGCUGACAGGCUGCCGGAGAGAGCGCGCUUUGGGUUGGGUUCCUCAGAGCUGAGGAGAUGCAGCUUUGCGGCCUGCGGCACCUGCAGCAGCCAUCCCCUGUGCCUUCCCCGUGCUCACAGAAAGGCCGGAGCCGGGAGUUACAUGGCCGGGGGAGAUGGAACACGGCAAGAACUGCUUUUCCUGUCCUGCAGCCGGGGAUGCUCCCACCUGAGGGGUGCGUGGCUGCAAGAGGAAAGUCCCUGGGGAAGCACAGCUCGUUCCUCCCCUCUGACGGGGGCAGAAGGCGUGGGGCAGGAGAGGAAAGCAGAGUGCGUCUGCAUUUUCCUCACAGCUCUUAUUUCUUACAGUCUUCAUUAAGCCUCGUUCAGCCGUGCUUCGGGUCUCUGUGAUGUGCUGCCCGCUGCAAAACUUUCUCCUUCCCGUCAGACGAAACACUAUGCGGGUGUUCUUUUUCCUUUUCCAUUAAUCUGUGAGACAUCCCCAGCAGCUAUUGAGGCUGACGUAAGACACCCUGGGAACUCUGCAGAACUGGGUGUUUUCUGGGAUUUCUGGGAACUCUGCAGAACUGAAGAACCUCCAAAACAAAUGGGCAUUUCUGCACGGCAGAGGGAAAUGAGUCAUUUCAAGCUAAAACCUCCUGCCGUGCAGAAAGCCUGCAGGGGCGCGGUGGAACAUCCUCAUGGGCACUAAGAGCACUAAGGAGCGUGCCCUCCGCUCUGCUUUCCCGCAGAGAUACAGGGAUAAAAGCCUCAGUUCGUCCGAGCAACGACUGGCAGCAACUCCAGAAAAUUCUCCAAUCAAAAGCAAUUCCUGGAGAUGUACAGUGGAGUCCUUCAAAGUUAACGUGAGCUGACGCUGUGGCCUUUGGAGAAACAAGCUGCCUGAGGGGCUCCUUUAGACCACCUUUCGGGCACAGCACGAGAGCUUUUCUUCUACAAAUCUAUGCCCACCCCAAAACAAAGACUGACAUAGAGUUGUGGUGCAGACAUUGGACGCUGACCAGGAGGAGAAGAGCAGAAAGGGAGAUGAGCGGACACAGCAGUGCCCCAAGAUACAUGCAAAGCCAGGAGAAAAAGUCCGUGAUAGAAAGCCAGCGAUGUUCUUCGAGGCACAAAGGACCAUUUCACGAGAGAAUCCCUCGAGGAGCGCUGACGGUGCCUCUGACACCCGACGCCA